rnacentral:lncRNA from 1 species
CAAAGUUGUGAGCUUGUAAUGUUUUUUUCUUUAUAAGUCCUGGUUUGAGUGCUGAUUCAGAAUAAAAAGGUUGGUAGAUUUUUUUGGGGCCUUAUUUGUAGAUCUUAUUUUGCUUAACAUUAUUGCUUUUUACAGUUUUUCUCUAUCUAUAUUAAUGUUCAAGAUACAAAUACACAAAUAUAAUCAAGAAGUAAUUGUAACAGGUGUCCCAAACAAACCUCCCAUAUUCAUUUGAUUUGUUUAAUUGUCCCCUACAAGAAUAUACAUGUAUAUGGUUUAGGGGUGGGAAUCUUGACCAUUCACAAGUUUUCAAACAAGAGGGGGUGGGCCCCGGGUUACCCCCUAAGGAUUUCAUUUGUUUUAUUGUCCCCUACAAGAAUAUAUAUGGUUUAGGGGUGGGGAUCUGGACCGUUUACAAGAUAAUAGCACAUUCUCAAAUUGAAUGGGGUGGGGGUGACCCCCACGGACUUCCCUUUAAUUUCAUUUCACUUGUUUUAUUGUCCCCUACAAGAAUAUAUAUGGUUUAGGGGUGGGGUGACCCCCUAAGGACUUCCCUUUUGUUUUAUUUCAUUUGUUUUAUUGUCCCCUACAAGAAUAUAUAUGGUUUAGGGGUGGGGAUCUGGACCGUUUACAAGAUAAUAGCACAUUCUCAAAUUGAAUGGGGUGGGGGUGACCCCCACGGACUUCCCUUUAAUUUCAUUUCACUUGUUUUAUUGUCCCCUACAAGAAUAUAUAUGGUUUAGGGGUGGGUGACCCCCUAAGGACUUCCCUUUUUGUUUCAUUUCAUUUGUUUUAUUGUCCCCUACAAGAAUAUAUAUGGUUUAGGGGUAGGGAUCUGCACCAUUUACAAGAUAAUAGCACAUUCUCAAAUUGAAUGGGGUGGGGGUGACCCCCACGGACUUCCCUUUAAUUUCAUUUGACUUGUUUUAUUGUCCCCUACAAGAAUAUAUAUGGUUUAGGGGUGGGGAUCUUGACCGUUUACAAGUUUUCAAACAAGAGGGGUGGGGUGACCCCCUAAGGACUUCCCUUUUGUUUCAUUUCAUUUGUUUUAUUGUCCCCUACAAGAAAAUAUAUGGUUUAGCGGUGGGGAUCUGGAUUGUUUACAAGAUAAUAGCACAUUCUCAAAUUGAAUGGGGUGGGGGUACCCCCACGGACUUCCCUUUAAUUUCAUUUCACUUGUUUUAUUGUCCCCUACAAGAAUAUAUAUGGUUUAAGGGUGGGGUGACCCCCUCGGGACUUCCCUUUUAUUUCAUUUCAUUUGUUUUAUUGUCCCCUACAAGAAUAUAUAUGGUUUAGGGGUGGGGAUCUGGACCAUUUACAAGAUAAUAGCACAUUCUCAAAUUGAACGGGGUGGGGGG